rnacentral:rRNA from 1 species
GACGAACGCUGGCGGCGUGCUUAACACAUGCAAGUCGAACGGUGAACGAGGGAGCUUGCUCCCUCCGGGUCAGUGGCGAACGGGUGAGUAACACGUGAGCAAUCUGCCCCGAACUCUGGGAUAAGCUUUGGAAACGACGUCUAAUACCGGAUACGACGCGGGAGGGCAUCCUCUCCGCGUGGAAAGAACUUCGGUUCGGGAUGAGCUCGCGGCCUAUCAGCUUGUUGGUGAGGUAACGGCUCACCAAGGCGACGACGGGUAGCCGGCCUGAGAGGGUGACCGGCCACACUGGGACUGAGACACGGCCCAGACUCCUACGGGAGGCAGCAGUGGGGAAUAUUGCACAAUGGGCGCAAGUCUGAUGCAGCAACGCCGCGUGAGGGACGACGUCCUUCGGGUUGUAAACCUCUUUUAGCAGGGAAGAAGCGAAAUUGACGGUACCUGCAGAAAAAGCACCGGCUAACUACGUG